rnacentral:misc_RNA from 1 species
GAAAUGCGAUAAGUAAUGUGAAUUGCAGAAUUCAGUGAAUCAUCGAAUCUUUGAACGCACAUUGCGCCCGCCAGUAUUCUGGCGGGCAUGCCUGUUCGAGCGUCAUUACAACCCUCAGGCCCCCGGGCCUGGCGUUGGGGAUCGGCGGAAGCCCCCUGCGGGCACAACGCCGUCCCCCAAAUACAGUGGCGGUCCCGCCGCAGCUUCCAUUGCGUAGUAGCUAACACCUCGCAACUGGAGAGCGGCGCGGCCACGCCGUAAAACACCCAACUUCUGAAUGUUGACCUCGAAUCAGGUAGGAAUACCCGCUGAACUUAAG